GUCCUCACGGCAGCUGCAGACCCGCCCACAGUGGGUUUAGGAUCCCAGGAUGUGCGCUCCAGCCCUGAAAGCUCCCCGGGGGGACGACCCUGAGUCCUUUAAGAGAGAGGAGAAGAACCUCCUCCUGUUCCACGUAGGAACUUUGGGGCCUCCCCGUGAGCGGGGUAGUGUUGGCGGCAGGAGGUGGGGACACAACCCUCCAUCCUUCCCUCACCUUCAGAUGUGUCCUAAGGUAAAUACGGGCUCUGCUCUGUGGGUGUUUGCAGCCUCCAAGGGCCCAUCCUGAAGAGGCUUUGCGGCUUCUGAGUACAAGGCCCCGGAGUGUCUUCAGCGUGUUGCACGGAGUCUGAUUGUUUGCAAAACACUCGCGGGAGAUCCGCGAGCAGAGCAAGUGUCCGAACGGGACUCCUCGGCAGCCGGGGCCCAUCUAGCGAUGCACUGGCUUGGACUCGCCCCCUGCUUCUUGCAUUAUUUUCAUUACUGAUUUUCAGCGCAGAUUCAAAAUGCUCAUUUCCCUUCGGAGUCACUCCUUCCUGGCUGUGAGGGAGGCCGGCGGUCGGCCCGGGGAAAGAGCUGGGUGAGCUCCGGGCUGGGGAGACAUCAGACGCACCCGUGGGACCUUGAGCUUGAUCUCCAGGAAGCAGGUGGUCUCAAGAUCAAGCGCUGGGUCUGUUUUAAGGCUGGACGUGACCUUCAGUGGAAAACCAACCCCGAUCGGAAAAAGCCGACACCAGGCUCCGCCGUGCUGAGCUCCCUGACCUGCUGAACUGCUGGUUAUUUAUUAAUGCAAGACGGGACCCAGCGCUCCAGCUACGACCCUCCCCGGGAUCUCUUCCGUUGGAUUUCGCCGAUGCCAGUGGAGGUCAGGGAGGCGCACAUCGAUGGGUGGCUCGCUACCCACGCUACUGCCAGUCACUCCUGCACGCGUCCUUCUCGCUCUUCCGAGAGUAUGGGGAUCUAUCUCGCAAAGAAGUCGAGGGUUGCCGGAGCCAUACAACACUUGGGAAUCGCACAGCUUCUGGCAGCGGCCCUGCCAGUCUUGAGAAAGCCGAUCUCCACGCAGCGAUAACCCGGACAGCUGUGCUGCCAGUGAUGCCUCUACUUACCCCAAGGAAGCUGCACCCAAGAUACAGCAAACUGUCGCAACGCUGGGUCUUCCUCCUGCCGUUGAGCGUUUUGCAAGAACUACCUUUGACCAAGGACAUUGAAGAAAUACACCUGUUGCUUUCUAGUCCCUUCGUGUUCACGUGUUCACCGACCUGGAAGCUUUUCAAAACCUGUUCCUUGGUGUUUCUAGGGAGGCUUCACUGCGUAGACAGCGCUCAUGGGGUCGUUGGCCGUCAGGUGAUUACACUCCGUCUGCAGCCUUUCUCCUCUCCCCAGACGGGAAGCCCUUUUUGGGGAUGAAAGAGUCAAUAUCAGAAAGAUUCAGUGACGGAGAGAACAAGGAGGCUGCAAGUUCCCGUGUAACAUGACUUCCUUGGCUCCUCGAGGAAACACAGCGACGCUCAACAUCCGCGGGACCCAGAGCCAACUACCAGCUGCAGAUAGCGCACAGCUUCAGCUUUGGAUCAUACGCAUCCCUUUCAAUGACAUCAGAUCUUUUGAAGUUCAGCUUUUGAGAGUGGCUGUGACAAAAUGCACGGUUGCACGAGACCGAUGUGGAACAGGGGACAAGAGUGGCGGGUCCACGGCUAUGCCAAGGUUUGGGAAAGCACGCAAUGCCCGAGAAGAGCACCGCCUGCUAGUAAUUGUGGUGAUUUGUUUGUUUAUUUAUUUAUGAGAAACAAAGAAAGAGAAAGAGAGACACAGGCUGCGGGAGAAGCAGGCUCCCUGCGGGGACCCCG